CACGAAUGGCGUAAUGAUGGCCAGGCUGUCUCCACCCGAGACUCAGUGAAAUUGAACUCGCUGUGAAGAUGCAGUGUACCCGCGGCAAGACGGAAAGACCCCGUGAACCUUUACUAUAGCUUGACACUGAACAUUGAGCCUUGAUGUGUAGGAUAGGUGGGAGGCUUUGAAGCGUGGACGCCAGUCUGCGUGGAGCCGACCUUGAAAUACCACCCUUUAAUGUUUGAUGUUCUAACGUGGACCCGUAAUCCGGGUUGCGGACAGUGUCUGGUGGGUAGUUUGACUGGGGCGGUCUCCUCCUAAAGAGUAACGGAGGAGCACGAAGGUUGGCUAAUCCUGGUCGGACAUCAGGAGGUUAGUGCAAUGGCAUAAGCCAGCUUGACUGCGAGCGUGACGGCGCGAGCAGGUGCGAAAGCAGGUCAUAGUGAUCCGGUGGUUCUGAAUGGAAGGGCCAUCGCUCAACGGAUAAAAGGUACUCCGGGGAUAACAGGCUGAUACCGCCCAAGAGUUCAUAUCGACGGCGGUGUUUGGCACCUCGAUGUCGGCUCAUCACAUCCUGGGGCUGAAGUAGGUCCCAAGGGUAUGGCUGUUCGCCAUUUAAAGUGGUACGCGAGCUGGGUUUAGAACGUCGUGAGACAGUUCGGUCCCUAUCUGCCGUGGGCGCUGGAGAACUGAGGGGGGCUGCUCCUAGUACGAGAGGACCGGAGUGGACGCAUCACUGGUGUUCGGGUUGUCAUGCCAAUGGCACUGCCCGGUAGCUAAAUGCGGAAGAGAUAAGUGCUGAAAGCAUCUAAGCACGAAACUUGCCCCGA
rnacentral:rRNA from 2 species